AUUGAACGCUGGCGGCAGGCCUAACACAUGCAAGUCGAGCGGAGCGGCGGACGGGUGAGUAAUGCCUAGGAAUCUGCCUAGUAGCGGGGGAUAACUUCGCGAAAGGGUCGCUAAUACCGCAUACUAUCAGAUGAGCCUAGGUCGGAUUAGCUAGUUGGUGGGGUAAAGGCCUACCAAGGCGACGAUCCGUAACUGGUCUGAGAGGAUGAUCAGUCACACUGGGACUGAGACACGGUCCAGACUCCUACGGGAGGCAGCAGUGGGGAAUAUUGGACAAUGGGGGAAAGCCUGAUCCAGCCAUGCCGCGUGUGUGAAGAAGGUCUUCGGGUUGUAAAGCACUUUUAGUUGGGAGGCGGUACCAGCAGAAUAAGCACCGGCUAACUUCGUGCCAGCAGCCGCGGUAAUAC
rnacentral:rRNA from 1 species